AGUCAGGUGGCUUAGUGGUUAGCACGUUCGCCUCACACCAAAGUCCAGGGUCCGGGGUUCGAGUCCCACCGUGGCCC